GGGGGGGGCAAGCGUUGUUCGGAAUUACUGGGCGUAAAGGGCGCGCAGGCGGCCUGGCAAGUCCUACGUGAAAUCCCACAGCUUAACUGUGGAACUGCGUGGGAUACUGCCAGGCUUGAGUCCGGGAGAGGAGAGUGGAAUUCCCAGUGUAGCGGUGAAAUGCGUAGAUAUUGGGAGGAACACCGGUGGCGAAGGCGGCUCUCUGGACCGGUACUGACGCUGAGGCGCGAAAGCUAGGGGAGCAAACGGGGAUUAGAUACCCCGGUAGUCCUAGCUGUAAACUUUGAGCACUUGGUGUGGCGGGUAUCGACCCCCUGCCGUGCCCGAAGCUAACGCAUUAGGUGCUCCGCCUGGGGAGUACGGUCGCAAGGCUA
rnacentral:rRNA from 1 species